rnacentral:ncRNA from 1 species
AACGUGCUCCGGGGUCGGUGAGAGUCCGAACCGGCGGUGAUAGUCCGCGAACCCGAGAAACGUUCCUGCCGCCGAAGCUCCGGCCCACGGCGACGAGAACGCGUCGAGGGCCGAUCCGGUGGAAUUCCGGAACCGACGGUUAUGGGUCUGCACCAGCAGGCUCGAGUCCGGAUGAGAGGAAGCACGGG